rnacentral:lncRNA from 1 species
CAUCCUAAAGAGUUCCACACCCAAAAGAGUUUGAGUGCCUCUUCUUUGCUUGUUUCUAGCAUCUGAUAGCAAUACAUAGCAAGAAAAACUCUAGAGAAGAGGAAAAGAAGGAGAUCAAAAAGAAAGAUCAAACAUUGAUCGCGAUCCAAGCUUCGUUCAGAUUCAACUGGCUAAAUUUUGGAGAAUCAAAAUUUAGAUUAUAGAGAACUAUUCCAGACUGACCCUAGAUGGAUACUCAUAG